AGCGAACGCUGGCGGCAGGCCUAACACAUGCAAGUCGAACGAAGCCUUCGGGCUUAGUGGCGGACGGGUGAGUAACACGUGGGAACGUACCUUUUGGUUCGGAACUACUCAGGGAAACUUGAGCUAAUACCGGAUGAGCCCUUAGGGGGAAAGAUUUAUCGCCGAAAGAGCGGCCCGCGUUAGAUUAGCUAGUUGGUGAGGUAAAGGCUCACCAAGGCUACGAUCUAUAGCUGGUCUGAGAGGAUGAUCAGCCACACUGGGACUGAGACACGGCCCAGACUCCUGCGGGAGGCAGCAGUGGGGAAUCUUGCGCAAUGGGCGAAAGCCUGACGCAGCCAUGCCGCGUGAAUGAUGAAGGUCUUAGGAUUGUAAAAUUCUUUUACCAGGGACGAUAAUGACGGUACCUGGAGAAAAAGCCCCGGCUAACUUCGUGCCAGCAGCCGCCGUAAUAC
rnacentral:rRNA from 1 species